rnacentral:rRNA from 1 species
UACGUAGGGGGCUAGCGUUGUCCGGAAUCAUUGGGCGUAAAGCGCGUGUAGGCGGUCCGGUAAGUCCGCUGUGAAAGUCGGGGGCUCAACCCUCGAAUGCCGGUGGAUACUGUCGGGCUAGAGUGCGGAAGAGGCGAGUGGAAUUCCUGGUGCAGCGGUGAAAUGCGCAGAUAUCAGGAGGAACACCUAUUGCGAAGGCAGCUCGCUGGGACGUAACUGACGCCGAGACGCGAAAGCGUGGGGAGCAAACAGG